rnacentral:rRNA from 1 species
AAUAGAUACCCUGGUAGUCCACGCCGUAAACGAUGGAUACUAGCUGUUGGGAGCGACCUCAGUGGCUAAGCGAAAGUGAUAAGUAUCCCACCUGGGGAGUACGUUCGCAAGAAUGAAACUCAAAGGAAUUGACGGGGGCCCGCACAAGCGGUGGAGCAUGUUGGUUUUAAUUCGAUGAUACGCGAGGAACCUUACCAAGGCUUAAAUGCAGACUGACCGUUUUGGAAACAGAACUUUCGCAAGACAGUCUACAAGGUGCUGCAUGGUUGUCGUCAGCUCGUGCCGUGAGGUGUCAGGUUAAGUCCUAUAACGAGCGCAACCCCUGUUGUUAGUUGCCAGCGAGUAGUGUCGGGAACUCUAACAAGACUGCCAGUGCAAACUGUGAGGAAGGUGGGGAUGACGUCAAAUCAUCACGGCCCUUACGCCUUGGGCUACACACGUGCUACAAUGGCCGGUACAGAGAGCAGCCACCUCGCGAGGGGGAGCGAAUCUACAAAGCCGGUCACAGUUCGGAUCGGAGU